rnacentral:rRNA from 1 species
ACUUUGAUCAUGGCUCAGGAUGAACGCUAGCUACAGGCUUAACACAUGCAAGUCGAGGGGAAACGACAUCGAAAGCUUGCUUUUGAUGGGCGUCGACCGGCGCACGGGUGAGUAACGCGUAUCCAACCUGCCCAUCACUUGGGGAUAACCUUGCGAAAGUAAGACUAAUACCCAAUGAUAUCUCCAGAAGACAUCUGAAAGAGAUUAAAGAUUUAUCGGUGAUGGAUGGGGAUGCGUCUGAUUAGCUUGUUGGCGGGGUAACGGCCCACCAAGGCGACGAUCAGUAGGGGUUCUGAGAGGAAGGUCCCCCACAUUGGAACUGAGACACGGUCCAAACUCCUACGGGAGGCAGCAGUGAGGAAUAUUGGUCAAUGGACGAGAGUCUGAACCAGCCAAGUAGCGUGCAGGAUGACGGCCCUAUGGGUUGUAAACUGCUUUUAUAAGGGAAUAAAGUGAGAGUCGUGACUCUUUUUGCAUGUACCUUAUGAAUAAGGACCGGCUAAUUCCGUGCCAGCAGCCGCGGUAAUACGGAAGGUCCGGGCGUUAUCCGGAUUUAUUGGGUUUAAAGGGAGCGUAGGCCGGAGAUUAAGCGUGUUGUGAAAUGUAGACGCUCAACGUCUGCACUGCAGCGCGAACUGGUUUCCUUGAGUACGCACAAAGUGGGCGGAAUUCGUGGUGUAGCGGUGAAAUGCUUAGAUAUCACGAAGAACUCCGAUUGCGAAGGCAGCUCACUGGAGCGCAACUGACGCUGAAGCUCGAAAGUGCGGGUAUCGAACAGGAUUAGAUACCCUGGUAGUCCGCACGGUAAACGAUGGAUGCCCGCUGUUGGUCUGAAUAGGUCAGCGGCCAAGCGAAAGCAUUAAGCAUCCCACCUGGGAAGUACGCCGGCAACGGUGCAACUCAAAGGAAUUGACGG